rnacentral:rRNA from 1 species
UACGGAGGAUGCAAGCGUUAUCCGGAUUCAUUGGGUUUAAAGGGUGCGUAGGCGGGCUAUUAAGUCAGUGGUGAAAUCCUGCAGCUUAACUGCAGAACUGCCGUUGAUACUGAUAGUCUUGAGUUUGGUUAAGGUAGGCGGAAUGUGUAAUGUAGCGGUGAAAUGCUUAGAUAUUACACAGAACACCAAUUGCGUAGGCAGCUUACUGAGCCGACACUGACGCUGAGGCACGAAAGCGUGGGGAUCGAACAGGA